GAUGAACGCUGGCGGCGUGCCUAAUACAUGCAAGUCGAGCGAACAGACGAGGAGCUUGCUCCUUUGACGUUAGCGGCGGACGGGUGAGUAACACGUGGAUAACCUACCUAUAAGACUGGUAUAACUUCGGGAAACCGGAGCUAAUACCGGAUAAUAUAUUGAACCGUAUGGUUCAAUAGUGAAAGACGGCUUUGCUGUCACUUAUAGAUGGAUCCGCGCCGCAUUAGCUAGUUGGUAAGGUAACGGCUUACCAAGGCAACGAUGCGUAGCCGACCUGAGAGGGUGAUCGGCCACACUGGAACUGAGACACGGUCCAGACUCCUACGGGAGGCAGCAGUAGGGAAUCUUCCGCAAUGGGCGAAAGCCUGACGGAGCAACGCCGCGUGAGUGAUGAAGGUCUUCGGAUCGUAAAACUCUGUUAUUAGGGAAGAACAAAUGUGUAAGUAACUAUGCACGUCUUGACGGUACCUAAUCAGAAAGCCACGGCUAACUACGUG
rnacentral:rRNA from 1 species